UACGGAGGGUGCAAGCGUUAUCCGGAUUCACUGGGUUUAAAGGGUGCGUAGGUGGGUUGGUAAGUCAGUGGUGAGAUCCCCGAGCUUAACUUGGGAACUGCCAUUGAUACUAUCAGUCUUGAAUACCGUGGAGGUCAGCGGAAUAUGUCAUGUAGCGGUGAAAUGCUUAGAUAUGACAUAGAACACCAAUUGCGAAGGCAGCUGACUACACGAAUAUUGACACUGAGGCACGAAAGCGUGGGGAUCAAACAGG
rnacentral:rRNA from 1 species